rnacentral:rRNA from 1 species
UGGGGAAUUUUGGACAAUGGGGGCAACCCUGAUCCAGCCAUGCCGCGUGUGUGAAGAAGGCCUUCGGGUUGUAAAGCACUUUCGGCCGGAACGAAAUCGCACGGGUGAAUAUCCCGUGUGGAUGACGGUACCGGAAGAAGAAGCACCGGCUAACUACGUGCCAGCAGCCGCGGUAAUACGAAGGGGGCUAGCGUUGUUCGGAUUUACUGGGCGUAAAGCGCGCGUAGGCGGAUCACUAAGUCAGGGGUGAAAUCCCGAGGCUUAACCUCGGAACUGCCUUUGAUACUGGAGAUCUGGAGAUCGGGAGAGGUUGGUGGAAUUCCGAGUGUAGAGGUGAAAUUCGUAGAUAUUCGGAGGAACACCAGAAGCGAAGGCGGCCAACUGGCCCGAUACUGACGCUGAGGCGCGAAAGCGUGGGGAGCAAACA